GUGAGGAAUUUUCCGCAAUGGGCGAAAGCCUGACGGAGCAAUGCCGCGUGAAGGAUGAAGGCCUAUGGGUUGUAAACUUCUUUUCUCAGAAAAGAAUUGUGACGGUAUCUGAGGAAUAAGCAUCGGCUAACUCUGUGCCAGCAGCCGCGGUAAGACAGAGGAUGCAAGCGUUAUCCGGAAUGAUUGGGCGUAAAGCGUCUGUAGGUUGUUUAAAAAGUAUUCUGUCAAAGAUUAGGGCUUAACCCUAGAUAGGCAGAAUAAACUUUUAAGCUAGAGUUUGGUAGAGGCAGAGGGAAUUCCCGGUGGAGCGGUGAAAUGCGUAGAUAUCGGGAGGAACACCAAAGGCGAAGGCACUCUGCUGGGCCAAUACUAACACUGAGAGACGAAAGCGAGGGGAGCAAAUGGGAUUAGAAACCCUGGUAGUCC
rnacentral:rRNA from 1 species